GCCUCAUUCUGGGAGACGAAGUGCCGGGGCUGAGAUGUUCAUUGCGGGAGAAACGCGCCACUUCGAUGUCAUUUGAGUUCCUGCUACAUCCAGGCUACCCGUGUUUUUUGCUCGAAAUGAGACUGAACUUGUCAGCCCUUGGUGCAGCACUAAGAAAAGCAGCUCUGAGAGCCACGGUUGGUAACCGGCCUGGAUGCCCUCCCUGAUGAACGAGAAGCCACGAAGAAAGGACAAAGGGCAGGAAUAAUUGCAAUAGGUGGUUAUCCCAAUAUUCAGAAGAGGGGGAGCAUGAAGGAAGCCUUGUUAACACUUUUAGGUCUUAACUGCCUAAUAUCAAUGUUAAGAACUCAGCCAUGUCAUUAAGUACCCAUCUGUUGUACUAUAGCACAACUAAAAGUUUUGAGUGGCCUUCCAUAUCUAUCAAGGUUCACAAAGAGAGGAACAAUACCACCAGGGAAUUCUCCAGAUGAGGUUGUGACUGCUGAACCAGCCUUCAUCCCCCCUGGGUUAUCUCAUCCCUCUGCCUACUAGAGCACCUGGCCUCAAGGAGAAACAUUACAUUUGGACAGGCUCUAUGCUGCUGCUGGACUGUUCAGUUUGCUUUUUUACUUCAUUCUUUCCUUCUCUCAACAAGAAAGGAAGCCAGAAAAGGGGCUUGUGAGCCAGCCUGGAAGAUCUCUCUCUUUUGGGUUCAAGAGUGCAGCACUUAAGAGUGAGUACAUACCAUAGAACCAGAGUGCUUCAGUGCG